rnacentral:rRNA from 1 species
CACGUAGGAGGCGAGCGUUGUCCGGAAUCAUUGGGCGUAAAGAGCGCGCAGGCGGCUUGACAAGUCGGGUGUGAAAUCCCGGGGCUCAACCCCGGGACUGCAUUCGAUACUGUCAGGCUAGAGGUAGGUAGGGGAGAUCGGAAUUCCUGGUGUAGCGGUGAAAUGCGCAGAUAUCAGGAGGAACACCGGUGGCGAAGGCGGAUCUCUGGGCCUUACCUGACGCUCAGGCGCGAAAGCUAGGGGAGCGAACAGG